rnacentral:lncRNA from 1 species
CUGCUGCUGCCUUGCAAUUUCUGGCCAGAGACUCUCACUGUGCAAAUGUGCCAAAACUCCUCCAUAAGGGAGCAAGAGCUAUGCAGCCUGCAUGAGUCAGCCUCCCCAACCACAGAGGUGGAACUGGGAGGAAAGGGUCCAGGUCAGACUAACCCAGGACUAGCACAGAACUCCAGGAAUUACAACAGAUAUCCACCAUUUGACUUCCUGUAAGUCUCAUAAGGUUGCCACUCAAAAGACCUCACUUGCUCUCCAGUGAAAGAGCUGUACACACCACCUGAGCAAGGCCAGCGAGACCGACUCUCCCAAGAAGAUGAACUAUCCAUGAACCCAGAUGGUCCUUUGUGACUUUCUCGACUAACAGAGCACAGGAGAAGUGACACGAUAUGACUUCUGAGGCUAGCUUAUACAAAUGUCAUGCAUUUCUACCUCGUGCUUUGAGGAUACUCGCUGUUGCAACCCAGUCACCGUGCUGUAAAGAAGCCCAAACAGCUACUUGGAGAGACAUCGGGUACCACAGAGCCUCACCCAAGAUCUCAGCUGACAGCCAGCAUCAACCGCCAGACAUAUGAGUGCACAAGCUUUCAAAUGAUUCCAGCCUUCAGCCGCCAAGUCACCCUCAGGCUUUGAGCCCUUUCCAGCUGAGGUUCCAGACAUCCUGGAACAGAGACAAGGCAUCCCCACUGAGCCCUUCCUGAUUUCUGAUACACAGAAUCCAUAAACACAAUAAGAUGGUUGUUAUUUAUACUGCUGUGUUUAGGCUGGUUUGUUACUCAACAGUAGUAACUGGAAUGGGUCAUCACUGGAGAAGAGAAUGAAGAAUGAGACCUGGAGGAGUCCUAAUAUAUUAAGAUUUGCCAAGGAUGGUGUCUCUCUCCCCACUGAGCUGCCCGGGCGUGGGGAAGGGGUGAUGGGACUAGUGGGAAUCUAUCUUUCCUGCCCUCCUCAAUGUGUCUUCUCUUGUUUCUGUGCUUCACUCAGGGGCUGCAAUCCCUCACCUGAACUCCUUGGAUCCUGUGAAGUACCACCACCCUCGCUUCUGUAUCUCACGGUGUCAAAGAGCUCUCACCACAGCGUAUCACCAAGCCUUUACCUGGGAAUUGUGUGUAUCCAUCUCCAGCCAGUGGCAGGGCUGGGAAUACCAUUUGGCAAUGUGUUGCUGUGAAGGAAACAAAGUGAUCAAAUAAAGAAUGACUGAAGGGAGGGGUGGAAAGUGACCUGUGUUAGAAAUCACAACAGAAAACGCCUCUAGGAUGAGGUGGCAUUAAAGCUGAAACAAGAGGAUGAGAAGAAGCAAACCUGAAAAAGAGGAAGAAUAACACCAAUGCAAGAAGCAACUCCCUACCCAAAAGCCCACAGUGGGUAACCUUAUAGCAUACCUGGCUGAACGGUUGAAUACCAGUGUGGAGGAGGUAGACAUAACAUACAGUUGGGCAGAUCUUUAUAGGGACCAGAAUCCACAAGCCUAAGAGAUUUGAUUUUAUUUUAGAUGCAAGUGAAAGCUAUUAAAUGGUUUUGAAAAGAUAGCUGAAAUGAUCAGAUUCAUGUGGGAUACCAGGCUGUUUGAGUAGAACAAGGGAGAAAGAACAGUGGCGUACACUAAGAUGGCAAUGAGUAUGGAGAAAUAGAUAUAAAAUAUAUAUGUGUGUGUACAUACGUCUAUAUACACGCACACUUUGAGACAGAUUCCAGAAAACGUAAUGAUACAGUCUGGGCAGAAAGUGAGGAAAAGUAGGGACUCAGGGACCGUGCCUAGGUUUUUGUUUGAAGUUAGCAUGUGAACAGUUAGAAUGGAACAGUUUGGAAGGUGGAAUUAUUGAAGUUUUCAUUUAGACAUCGUAAUUGUGGAGACGUCAACCAGUGUUUCUCAAACUUCCCCAAUGAACAGAAUCAUCUGGGGAGCUUAUUACAUAUAUGGAUUAUCAGGUUUUCUGCUGGAAAUUCUGGAUCGGUAGGUCCGAGUUGAGCACAAAGUACUGGAUUUUCUUCACUCUCGGUGGGUAAUAUGCAGCUACCAAAAGAAAGAGAAUGAGGAAGAUCUCUAUCAACUGAUAUAGAGCAAUUUCCAAGAUAUGUUAAAGGCAAAAUUCAAAAGAGUAUCUAUGGUAUGCUAUUUUUCAUGUAGGAAGAAGGGACUAUAAGAAAAUACACACGUAUCUGUGCAAAAAAGAAAUGCAGGAAGGAUAAACCAGAAACCAGUGCAACUGAUUAUCUACAGGAAGCAGAUGGGAACUGGGAGGAAAGGAAGGAAGGACGGGAAUGGUGUAGAAGGGACGAGAAAGAGAUGAUACCUAAGUAUACCUUUCUGUAUACUUUUGAUUAAAACUGAACAGUUUUCACAUACCCAAGUAAAUAAUUAAAAUCAAGAAGCAUUUGGAAGGAUCCCAAAAUGGAACACAAACAGUAACAGGUGAACCUAACUUUACUACAAACACAUUAACAAAAUCACACUGGAGGAAGGGGGAAGAACUAACCUCGGAAAGAACUUUGGAAAAUAGUAUUUUAAUAUAGUGCAAAUAACCAUACACUUAAUAUAUACUACUAAUAAUAUUUAAUAAUAUUAAUAAUACAUUUAUAACUAAUCAUCAUAAUAAGGCUAAAGACAGAAAGAAUUGUACACAGAUAUUGAACUUGUUAGUAAAUUUAUUUUUCACAGGGGCAGAAGUUAACGAUUUUUAAAUAUUUUAUGUGUAUUCUAGAACUGAGCAAAUACAUAAAUGGAUUGUAGAUAAUGAGAAUCAGGUUUCUAAUUGUUAAAGAAAGGAGUUACAAGUAAGUAUAAGGUAAAGGAGGCUAGAAUAAACCCUAUGGUGUUGGAUUGGAAUCAAGGUAUCAGUUUGAACUCAUUCUCAAUUUGAACUCGUGUGUGUGUGUGUGCGCGCGCACGCAUGUGAACACACCCGGACUGAUACAUACAAAAAUAGAAGGAGAUAUUUGUACGUGUGGAUGUAUUCAGAUAUAUUUUCUUAGCUCUGUCUGCUGAAAGGGCAAUGGGGAAGCCUGGGUAGCAAUGAGUACACCUCAUACCAAGAUGCUGGUUUGUAAAUACCAUUAUUUAAGGCAAGGAAUAACAACUCCAUGGAGAAAUGACUGAUCCAAGGCUAGGACAGGGGAAAGUAAAAGAUGGGUCUGGAGCAUUUUUUGUGGUGCCAGAAAGUAAGCUACUACUCAAAAAAUUAUAUGGCUAUGUAGCAAAAACAAGAAAGACAGCUUGAAGGAGUACCAAUCACCAAAUCUGGAACAAUUUGAGAGACAAAAUAAUUAAUGCUAGUGAUGGCUUUUAACCCAUAGAACAAAAUAAAUAUCCACAAGUUUAUACCGAUAUAUGUAAAUAAAUAACCGAAUAAACGCAUAAACGAAGGAGAAGGAACAGCUCUUCGUUACAAUCAGAUCAUAGUUAAUAAAUAUAGAAGGAAUCAUGGAAAUAGAUGAUGAUCAUUUGCAGUAAUUAUUGGAGUCAGGAAUUAUUAAUGGAUACUAAAAUUGGUGUGGGGAAAAGAAACAAGAGCAGAAAUAUUUGAGCAAUCUCAAAUAAUUACAAGGGGAAAAAUAGUAACUUUGCAGUUAUCAUUAUAACCAAGUCAAGUUAGCAUCACCAGUAAUGAAACAUGGAUUUCUUGUGCCUCCUAAUACAGUACACUGAAAAGGACAUAACAUCACUUCUGUGGUAUUCUUGUGAAGAAACACAUAACCUCAGUCUAGCCAUGAGAAAACACCACGGAAACUCAAAUUGAGCAACAUUCUGCAAAAUAACGGGCUAGGAAUCUUCAUUAGUUUAAGGUCAUGAAAGAAAAGAAAGACUGAGGAGCUAUUCUAGAAAAGAAUGAGGAGAUUUGGCAAAUAAAUGCAAUAAAGGAUCCUGGAUUUGAACCUGGACCAGGGGAUCAUAGGAAAUAUUUUCACAUGAGUCUGUUAAUUAGUUAACAGUAUUGUGUCAAUGUAAACCUUCUGGUUUCAAAAUUAUACGGUGGCAAUAUAAUCUGUUAACAUUUGGGAAAGCUGGGUAAAGUGUAUAUGCGAACUCAUGCUGUUAAUGUUUAAAGUUUUUUGGUAAACUAACUCUGAUAAUGCAGUUCUGUGAAAAACUUAGUUUGGAUGUUUCUGAGCCUCUUUUUCGUAUCCCCAUAAAAGAAAGCUCCUCGUUUAGGAAUAAUACUGGUUCAAUGGGGAAGAUAAGAUUUACACAGGUUCAAUCCUAACACUCAGAUAGUAUGGAGUAGGAACAAUCAACUUUGAAUGCCAUUUCGUGACAUUAUAUACUUAAGUGUCAUAAUAAGUAGAAUGCAUAGACUACACAAACUUACAAGUUGAAAAACCAUAGACUCAUAGAAUUGUCUUGUAAUAAAGGCUCUUACUCUUCCAACACCUUAGCUUCAACCUCUGCUAAAAUACUUCAGUGAUAGGGAGUUCAUCAUUUUAAAAUGCAGUCUAUUUUAUUGUUCAAAGGUUCUACUUGUUAAAAUGUUCAUCUUUUUAUCAACCAAAACCUGGUUAAUUGGUCGAAAAUCUUCAGUGUGGAACAGUCUAAUUCCUUUUUCACAGGACAACUCCUAAAAUACUUCAGAACCACCUCCUGGCUCCUUCUGAGUCUUGUCUCACCUCAUCUAUUCCUAGUUCCUUCAGUUACUUCUUAUAUAUCUUAGAUCCCAAACACUUCACUGCACUGAUCACUUUCUUCAGCAUAACUCAUUUGUUCAAUGUGGUACUUUAAGCCUGAAAGGAGUUGUUUACUGUUAUCUGUAAAAAAUUCAGACAUAAAAUUUCCAAUCAGCCAAUAAUGCUUCACCUAACAUGAUCUAUAUACACCACUUGAUAAGCAAAAUUAAAAAUUCCAGAUCAUUUCAUUCGUACAGAGUAAUCUUAGGAUGUCCUUGUCUCUAAUGUGCAGGCAAUGUGAAUUUUCUUUGUGUGCCUCUGUAACUUUGCUCUAUUGCAGGCUACCAGAGGAUGCUCCAGUGAUGCUGCCUAACAGUGAUAUGUAUGUGAUACCUGCUAUGUACUAACAAAUGAGACAUUCAAAGGGAUCCUUUGUUCCCAAGAGACAUAAAUAUACGAAUUUUUAUUCUCUACUUUUUGUGUAUUUCUCAUUUUUAUUAUUCAUCUAUGAGCCCUUAAGUGCAUUCACCAAACUGCAUCAUAAACAUCAAAAUAGAUUACUUCACUUUACCUUUUAUGAGAUUAUUAUACUUAUCCACCAAUAUUUGAGCCCUUAGUCUGGGCAAAUCAUCCUAGCCAGUGAAGUGCAGAGGUUCAGAGCAUGGAG